ensembl:snRNA U6 U6 spliceosomal RNA
GUGCUCAUUUCAGCAGCACAUAUUCUAAAAAUGGAAUGAUACAGAGAUUAGCAUGGCCCCUAUGCAAGGGUGAGAGGGAGAGAGAGAGCUCUUCCAACUGCCG